AUGGCUUUUAAUAACUAUCAAUCUUAUCUUUUAGGAGUUUCAUGCAUUGCUUUGGUCUUAGUUUCAGGAUUGGUUACUGGUUUGAAGACUCCAACAGUCGAGCUUCGCAAAGCAUCCUGCUUUGUAGGGAUGCCUUCAGGGAAAUUAAACUUAUGCUGUUUUGAGGAUUGUUCUCCAAAUUGUCGUCAAGACUGUUUGAAUGCUGGGUAUCAAUUAGGAGGAGGGUGUUUUCAAAUACUUAUUGGACAAAAAUGUUGUUGUUAUAAGUAA